UCCCAAUGGCUCAGCAGGUAAAGAACCUGACUGCCAAUGCAGGAGACCCAGGUUCAAUCCCUGGGUUGGGAA
rfam:TPA: Bos taurus chromosome 3, whole genome shotgun sequence.